rnacentral:lncRNA from 1 species
CCUCAGGCCACACGUUGGCUAGGAGUGUUGGGCACACAGCAGGAAUGGCUCACAGGAAGCUGGAGGAGUUUCUGUCUUUCUAAGGGUCAGAGGUGGCUGAGAUUUGGCAGUCAGGGAAAUGGGAAUUUCCUGUGUCCCUCCCCGGAGCUGAGACUGGCAGCAGGAACCCAGACGGAACUGGAAUGGGAAAUUCAGAUGCAGACAGGUGCUGAAGACCAUGUGAAGGCACAGGGAGGAGGUGGCCAUCUGCAAGCCAAGGAGAGAAGCCUCAGAAGAAACCAACCCUGCCAACACCGUGACCUCAGACUCCAGCCCCCAGAACUAGCCAUAGUUUGUCUUCCACAACUGGAGGUUUGAAAAGAAGGAUGAGGACACUGAAUCUCAGAGACGUCAAGUUCUUUCAUCGAGAUUCCAUAGAAUGUUCCCUGUUUCUUCAUCUAUGACAUGGGGAUAAUGUGAGUAUACCUACAUCAGAGGGCUGCGAUGAAGACUAAAUAAGCUCCUGCCAUCAAAAGUUGGAGUCUGUUUCCCCACGCCUUGAAUCUGGGCUGGCUCUAUGAUCCACUUUGGACAACAGAAUUUGGUGGAAGUGAUGCUAUGCCAAUGCUGAGGUGAGGCCUCAAGAGGCCUUGUGGGCUGUGACUCUUUUGGAACGCUGCCUAGCUGUCACGUGAACAAGGCUACUGCAUGAUGAGAGACCAUAUGGAGCCAAAACAUGCCUUUCCAGCUGAGGCCCUCCUAGUCCAGCCAGCCCUAGAUGCACAAGCUGGUGACCAAAGAUACAUGAGUGAGUCCAGAUGAGAAGUCCCUCGUUGAGCCCAGCCCAAUUGCUGAUCCACUGACUUGUGAGGUACAUAAAUGACUGUUGUUUUAAGCCAUUAUGCUUUUGGGUGCCCUGUUAGCAAAAGUGAAGUGAUGCCGGUAUUUAUGAAAUAGAUGUAAAGCUUUACUGAACUCUCCAGUGUGAAUGGAGGACUAAAUUAGAAUAAGAAAGCCUCUUGCUUAACCCUCUCAUAAAAUUCUCAGGAUAUUUUGUUUAGUGAAUCAGUCAGUGUGCAUUUUUCCAGAAAAUGCAUUAUACCCCUUUGACGACCUUAGUUCUUAUCCCUGUCAUGAUGGGGUUUUGCUAGCUUUGGGUGACAUAGGGUGAUCCACACUCCUGGUUUGUCUGGAACUCUCCUGAAAGUCCCACAUCCUGGGAAACUCUUCAGUCCCAGGUGAGCCUGGACAGUUGAUUACUCUACAUCUGCACUUCACUUUGUUGUUUGCAAGUCAGAUGUGCCCACAUUCACCUAUGGGCUUCUGAUGACAAGGCAGGCUUUAAUCUGGCCUGUUUUACAGAUGGUAAACCUGAGAUCCAGCAGGUUCAAGGUGCCCACCCAGGAUCACUGAGCUAGACGGCAGAGAAGAGAGGAGUUGAACCCAGGUCAGCCUAAUGCUGUUCCUCCCCACCUGCUGCUUCCAGGGUGGUUACACCAACUCUUUAUUACUGGGCUGUGAAGUGAGGGGCUGCAUCUCAGGUCCAUUCCCCAGCAGCACAAAUGCUUUUCCAUUUUGAUGAUUUACAAACACCAGUGAGGUCUGACACCAAGAGAGAAGAGACUCUGGCUUAUUCUGUAGCUCACACUUUGUAGAGAUGACUUGGGCCACUGGCAGUCUUGACCUAACCCUCUGAGGCCAGAAGAGCUGCCACCCCAGAUCUGCAAAUGGCAAUAUAAGUGAGACUCAGCUCCAGAGAAAGACCUUGGAGAAUCCAGAAAAAGACGAGACGUGGGAGGGGAAAGGGAUGGGAAUAGAGAACUGGUUUCAUCUCUUUUAGGAACCUUGUUGAUGCUUUAUCGUGAACUCUUUGUUUAAAAAAAAUCAUUUUUCAUACAUUCAGAAUUCCAAGCUGCUGAAAAUUUCCUCCUGUGAUGAGACGCAUUCAGAACAAAACGUGCAGCCUGAUUUGUCUUUCCCCAAAAUCAAAGGCAGUAUUCUAAAGAGACUGCAUUUGCCACACAAAGGUGGCAGAUGUUUGCUGAGAUUAUAGCUGCACAAGCGUUCCGCACGUUCAAUCUUGGGAGCAUUUCAGUUUUUGAAAAGAGAAACAGUUUUGUGUCAUUCCUGGAUGCCCAGGAAGCUUCUGGUACCUACAGUGUGGAGCUCUGGUGGGGUGUGGACAAAGGCGGGUUUGCUCACCUGGCUUUCCAUGAUCUGGAUGUCUUGCAGAGCAGUUGCUGAGUAAGACUGGGCUGAAGCACAGUGUGGUAGGAAGUCAGCUCAUCAAGUAUUCCUUAGCACCUAUGUGUACCCCCAUAAUGGUGUUAGGUCCUCCAGGCAGGGAUGUGUGCCCUUCAAGGUGCUGCAAUUCUUAUUCUUGCCCUCAUGGCCUUUGUAGUCUGAAGGCUUUCUAGGCCCACAAACUUAGAAAGUUGAUUUUAAAGUUGAGCUAGUUUUUAACUUUCCAAACAUAUUUACUCUCAUUCAUUCCCCUCUCUUGAUUUCCUAUGCUGGAGAUCUGACAGUUUCCCAGAUUUCUCUUUCCCCCAUCCCUGGAAUAUAAUCAGUCACAGAAUCUUAAAUCUUCUAUCCCCCAAAAUGGAACUCAAAACCCACCCUCUUUUUCCAUCUGCAAUGCAGAUAGAAUCCCUUCUCCUCACCCCCAUCCACUGGAAACACCCUUGUCACACCUCCCAUACUGUCCCACAAGUACCCAGGGAGCUACUGGAAGUUAGAAUCAGCUUUGCUUUCUUAGUAAGCUAGCACAGGGUCAGCAUGUAUUUGGCAUUCACUGACUUUUUUGAAUGAACAAAUGAAUGAAUGAAUGAAUGAAUAGGUAAUGAUGUAAAUGAUGGGCUAUUCCUCAGCCGUGUCCCUUUAGAUUUCUCUGUCUGUUGGUCUCUGUUGGUGCAUAUCUCUCGCCCUCUCUUUUUUAAAUUAAUUUAUUUUUUAACAUGGCCAACCCCUAUUUAUCCUUCAAGACCCAGUGCCCAUGUUAACUCCUCCAGGAAGCCUUCUCUGAGACAGUCUGCCUGUGUGGCUGAUUCACUUUUUCUUUUCUUUUUCUUU